CUCGAUUUAUUUUGGUUCUUAGAGGUUUCACUUGAUCCGCUUUCAUUAUUAGGUCCAGAUUCAGUUAGAUUCAUAGAUGAACUAGAUUCCGUCACAUGGUUUUCACGACCAUUAUUUUUGUCUUGUUUUGCAAACUUAAUAAGCUCUUCGAGUUCCAGAAAUUGUUUCAGAUCAGCAGACUGACGCAAAGCAUGUUCAUAGCCUUGUUCCCACACCAGAAGAGCAUCAUCUUUCCUUCCCAAAGAUGAAAAUGCA
rnacentral:misc_RNA from 1 species